AUUGAACGCUGGCGGCAGGCCUAACACAUGCAAGUCGAGCGGAUGAAGGGAGCUUGCUCCUGGAUUCAGCGGCGGACGGGUGAGUAAUGCCUAGGAAUCUGCCUGGUAGUGGGGGAUAACGUCCGGAAACGGGCGCUAAUACCGCAUACGUCCUGAGGGAGAAAGUGGGGGAUCUUCGGACCUCACGCUAUCAGAUGAGCCUAGGUCGGAUUAGCUAGUUGGUGGGGUAAAGGCCUACCAAGGCGACGAUCCGUAACUGGUCUGAGAGGAUGAUCAGUCACACUGGAACUGAGACACGGUCCAGACUCCUACGGGAGGCAGCAGUGGGGAAUAUUGGACAAUGGGCGAAAGCCUGAUCCAGCCAUGCCGCGUGUGUGAAGAAGUUCUUCGGAUUGUAAAGCACUUUAAGUUGGGAGGAAGGGCAGUAAGUUAAUACCUUGCUGUUUUGACGUUACCAACAGAAUAAGCACCGGCUAACUUCGUG
rnacentral:rRNA from 1 species